rnacentral:rRNA from 1 species
GAAACUAACAAGGAUUCCCCUAGUAACUGCGAGUGAAGCGGGAAAAGCUCAAAUUUAAAAUCUGGUAGUCUUUGGCUGCCCGAGUUGUAAUCUAGAGAAGCGUUAUCCGUGCUGGACCGUGUACAAGUCUCCUGGAAUGGAGCGUCAUAGAGGGUGAGAAUCCCGUCUUUGACACGGACUACCAGUGCUUUGUGAUGCGCUCUCAAAGAGUCGAGUUGUUUGGGAAUGCAGCUCUAAAUGGGUGGUAAAUUCCAUCUAAAGCUAAAUAUUGGCGAGAGACCGAUAGCGAACAAGUACCGUGAGGGAAAGAUGAAAAGAACUUUGGAAAGAGAGUUAAACAGUACGUGAAAUUGUUGAAAGGGAAACGCUUGAAGUCAGUCGCGUUGAUUAGGGAUCAGCCUUGCUUUUGCUUGGUGUACUUCCUGGUUAACGGGUCAGCAUCAAUUUUGACCGAUGGAAAAAGGUCAGGGGAAUGUGGCAUCUUCGGAUGUGUUAUAGCCUCUGAUUGUAUACAUUGGUUGGGAUUGAGGAACUCAGCACGCCGCAAGGCCGGGUUUCGACCACGUUCGUGCUUAGGAUGCUGGCAUAAUGGCUUUAAUCGACCCGUCUUG